UGUAAAAUUUCAAAGGUCGAACAGACCUAAUGUUUUAGCUUCUACACCAAAAAUUUAUUUUAAUCCAACAUCGAGGUCGCAAUCUUUUCUUUUAAUAUGAACUUUCUAAAAAAAUUACGCUGUUAUCCCUAAGGUAAUUUUAUCUUAUAAUCAAAAAUUUUGGAUCAUCUACUCAUAAAUUUAUGAUUUUAAAUAAAAAAAGUUAAUUAAAUUUUUCAAUCACCCCAACAAAAUUAUUCUAUAAAAAUAUAAAUUUAAUUCUUAAAUCAUAAUUUUAUAAAAUAAUUAAACUCUAUAGGGUCUUCUCGUCUUUUAAUUAUAAUUAAGCUUUUUAACUUAAAAAUAAAUUUCUAUAAAAAUUUAAUAGAGACAGCUAUUUUCUUAUUCAACCCUUCAUUCCAGUUUUCAAUUAAAAAACUAAUGAUUAUGCUACCUUAGCACGGUCAAUAUACCACGGCCAUUUAAAAUCUCAGUGGGCAGGUCAGACCUUAAAUUAUAAACAAAAGGAC
rnacentral:rRNA from 1 species